GACAGAGGGUGCAAACGUUGUUCGGAAUUACUGGGCGUAAAGCGCGUGUAGGCUGCUUGGAAAGUCGGAUGUGAAAGCCCUGGGCUCAACCUAGGAAGUGCAUUCGAAACUUCUGAGCUUGAGUAUCGGAGAGGAAGGCGGAAUGCUUGGUGUAGAGGUGAAAUUCGUAGAUAUCAAGCGGAACACCGGUGGCGAAGGCGGCCUUCUGGACGAUGACUGACGCUGAAGCGCGAAAGCGUGGGGAGCAAACAGG
rnacentral:rRNA from 1 species